rnacentral:tRNA from 1 species
GGGAAUGUGGCUUAGUGGUAGAGUACCUGCCUAGUAUGCAUGAAGCUUUGAGUUCAAUUCCUCGGUACCCA